UUCGCCCCUUUGAGCCAUGGCCGUGCAGACCCCACAUGCAAUGGACUAAUGGACUGCAACGGGAAACACA